GACGAACGCUGGCGGCGUGCUUAACACAUGCAAGUCGAACGGAAAGGCCCUGCUUUUGUGGGGUGCUCGAGUGGCGAACGGGUGAGUAACACGUGAGUAACCUGCCCUUGACUUUGGGAUAACUUCAGGAAACUGGGGCUAAUACCGGAUAGGAGCUCCUGCUGCAUGGUGGGGGUUGGAAAGUUUCGGCGGUUGGGGAUGGACUCGCGGCUUAUCAGCUUGUUGGUGGGGUAGUGGCUUACCAAGGCUUUGGCGGGUAGCCGGCCUGAGAGGGUGACCGGGGACAUUGGGACUAAGAUACGGCCCAGAGUCGUACGGGAGGCAGCAGUGGGGAGUAUGGCACAGCGGGCGGAAGUCUGAUGAAGCAACGCCGGGUGCGGGAUGACGGCUUUCGGGUUGUAAACCGCUUUCGCCUGUGACGAAGCGUGAGUGACGGUAAUGGGUGAAGAAGCACCGGCUAACUACGUG
rnacentral:rRNA from 1 species